AGUAGGAGAGACCAAAAGCAAAUGGUAAACAAGAGAAAAGACACACACGCACACACAAGUAAAACAGCAGCAGCCACAUCACCAGCACCAUGGUCACUGCUGCCAGCAUCCAUGACACUGGGUCUGAGGCUGUCCUGACCAAAUCCACAGGCGUCCUUAUGCAACAUCUGCUACCCUAGGGCUGCAGACUGUCCCUUGUAGAGCAGGCUAGGGUGCAGAAGGGCCUUGUGCAGUGAAGGGAUACGGUGAGAGAAUGAGGUGUCCUUUGCCCUGGAGGCCCUGCUGCUGUUACCUCUGCCUCUCUACAGCCCACUCAGAGGACAGCCUGGACACAGCUUGGAGACCCGAACUCCCUGCGGGGGGCGGGGGCGGGGAGAAACAGUGGUGCUUUCCAUUUGUUCCCUUUUGGAGAAUCAGAAAUGAGAGGAGGAAGAGACCUCCAGAGGCUGGCAGACUUAGGGACACUUGGCAUGGCUCUCUGUGUCCCUACUAACGUGCUGAUUAAAUUUAAGGGCUGUUUCCUCUCAGAGCCUGCUACUGCAAACAUUCCCUAAGCAUCUCUUUUAAAGACAGGAUCUCACUUUGUAGCCCUUGCUGGCCUGGAACUUGACAUAUAGACGAGGCUAACCUCAAACUCAUAGAAAAUCUGCCUGCCUCUGCCUCCUGAGUGCUGGGACGAAAGGUGUGCAUGACCACAUCUUAAUUUUACAUCAUGAGGCUUGAAGAGAGGAGUAACUUGAAUUUCAGGUCUGUAUAUAUAUUUUUAGAUUUUCUGCAUAGGCCUACUCCUGUAUUACUCAGUCACGUAAAAACUGUUUGUAUUUUCACUAAAAACCCGUUAGCUCUUCCUUUUCCAUCACAUAUAUUACCCAGAGCCUUCUAAGAAUGUCCAACCCCCCCCCAUCAGUCUCCGUCACCCAUGUAACACCCUUAGAAGCCACAUUGACUUCGCAUGGUCAUGCAGCUCCUAUCAUAGCCCCCUUUCAACCUUCAGGAGCACUUUCAGAAUGUACUGAACUCUAACAUGAGGGGCCAGAAACUACCCUCUGUCUUGGGGCCUUUGAAGGCCUGGAAGCUUCUUAGGGGAGAAGAGCUGCAAUGUAUGGCGCCCUCUAAGGCCCUCCCAACCCUGGUGAGGAUAGCUUUCUUAGCGGAGUGUGACACACAUGAUCCAGGGAAGCACCCUCCACCCUUCUUGGCCUUCCCCUGACUUAUGCUCUCCACAUGUCCCAUGACGGGGUGGCACCUAUUUAAAGAGGGACACAGACUCAGGCAGGGCAGGGUCUGUGGGAAGUGACCCUUCUGGGGAAAAGAGCAUUCAAGAAUAGUGAGGAGCAAGCCAGCCUGUGGCUCUCAGGGUGGGAUGAGAGUUCACAAACCGCUGAGUGUGAAAGGUAGUUAGUCCGGGAACCCACACGCACACUCUCCUGGCACUGACCAGGAGAUACCUCAGAGUAGCCAGGCACCUCUGCUAUCAGUGUGGUUCUGGCAGAAGCACAAAGGGACACAUCUCGUCCCUUCAAGGGCCCUUGGGCUACAGGGGCUCUUCCUAAGGAUCUGUAUACACUAAGUGACUGAUUCCAUGUUUGGCCAAACUGAGAACCCCAUUUCACCUCAAAAAGGCUGGUUCUUGACAUUACCAGAAGAAACCCAUGGCUGUUUGCUUCCUUUUUGGACUCUUCUGUCCCCAUACUGCACCCCUCCCCAUAAAUGAAGACGCAUUGACAAGCAAGUUGUUGGGAGGGAGGCUUGGAGAGGAGGAAGCAGAAAGAGCAAGCUUGGUCUCCAUGGCACCGUGGGCUCCAACAGUGGCAGUGGCUGCCCUUCUGCCGAAAGCAGGGCUCAGUGUAGAAGCCCUUGUGGAGAGGCUGGCCAGCAGAAAGCCACCACAGACACAGGCAAAGCUAGGUACAGGUACCAUCCUCACCCUAUGAACAACCAAGAAUGCCUAUCCCAUAGUCCUUGCCACAGAAGCAUGCCUGUCUUUAUUGAACAGAAAUGCAUAUAUUCCCACACAUUCUUUUCCUCAAACUCUUUAGUGUACUGAACAUAGGCCCUUGCCAAUUAGGAACUGGAAGCUUGUCUAGAGCCCUGAGCGAGAGCCCUUCGAGUGCACACACCAGUAAGCUUGCUGUCGGGCUGAGCAGAGGCAGGACAGUGCUGGCACAGAGUGAACAUGAACUUUCACACAAGUCAGAGAACAUGAAUGAGUUAAAAAAUGAGCAAACCGGACAGACAGGCCUACAUCUGGCAUAAAGACAUGGAACACAAAUGGACAGAUGGAAGCAAGGCCAGGCGUGGGAAGGCAGGGGUGAGCGUGCCUGGUCUCCAGCAGCUCCAGUCCAGGCUUAACUGGGCAGGAGGUGGCCGUAUGGAUCAAUGUCCUCCGCCAUGCGCGGGCGGGAAGGGAGUGUGCCUGGGGCCUGUGCGGGAGAAGCAAAUGAUUUGAUGCUGUCUCUCAGGUCUCCCUGAAGGCUGGGACCUGGGCAGUAUCUUCAGGACAAACUAAACAGAGAACAACUGAAAGGCUGGAGAAAGUUUCUCCUGAGCAGCUGGCUUCCCUUGCCACAGGCUUGCGUGGGCCGGGGCCUGCUGGGACCGUACCUGGCACAGGCUGAAGGAGCGUGGCAGCCACAGGAGGGAGGGCCUGCGGCUUAACACCUUCAGCUACUUCGCUCAGCGAGUAAAGCACUGGACCCAGGAGUGGCUGUUCUGAAGCUGAGGCAGGUCUUCACCGGGCGACAAUCACAAAGGGCGGUGUGAAGGGAGUCUCUGUGCUGAAGCCAGGAGGGACAUCCGGCCCAGGCAAGACACUUACUUAGCAAGUGGGUUUUGAUGCUACUGAAUGGGCACACUGAGGCCAGCACUCAAUUGUGGUUUGUUUUAUUUUUGGUUUUCAAGAUGGUUUCUCUGUGGUAGCUCUGGCUGUGCUGGAUCUUGGUCUGUAGACCAGGCUGGCCUCCAACUCAGAGAGCAACCUCCUUCUUCCUCCCAAGUGCUAGGGUUAAAGGCAUGCACCACUGCCGCCCGGCUUAAUUUUACUAUUUUUUUGGGGCGGGGGGGGGGGGGGGGGGACUAGGUCUUGCAAUUGAGCUCCUGGUCUGUAGCUUGCAGUGAUCCAGCUGCCUCUGUUUCCCAAGUCUGGGAUUAUAGGAGUGUGCUAGUGUGACUGGCCUUGAAUAAUUAACAUGGCUGCUUUGCAGAUUCAGUUUGAAGUCAUGAGGAGAAACAAGGGCAUGCUGAGAAGUUGGGGCCUCAGAGAACCAAGUAUCCCUGCCCUCUGGCUUCUCAUUUGGGAUUCAAGGCUUACAUGUGUGAUCAC